UAAAUAGCCCGGCCAGCGUUUGCCGGUCGCCGGCUUCUUAGAGGGACUAUCGGCUCAAGCCGAUGGAAGUUUGAGGCAAUAACAGGUCUGUGAUGCCCUUAGAUGUCCCGGGCAGCACGCGCGCUACACUGACGGAGCCAACGAGUUCCUCCCCUUAGCCGGAAGGCUUG
rnacentral:rRNA from 1 species